rnacentral:misc_RNA from 1 species
AACGCACCUUGCGCCCUUUGGUAUUCCAAUGGGCAUGCCUGUUUGAGUGUCAUGAAAUUCUCCAACCUAUACUUUUGUUAAUCGAUCGUAUAUGGAUAUGGGACUUUGAUUGUUGCAGGAUUUAUUUUUUGCUCAAUCUAAAUACAGUAGCAGAGGGAUCUCUUUGUCACUCUUUGACUUAGCAUGAUAAUUAUCUUUGUUAUUUCAUGGAGAAAAAUGAUUAAGAAAAUUCCUAGCUUCUAAUCAGACGUUUUCUUUCAGAAGACUCACCUUUUUUAAUUGACCUCAAAUCAGGUAGGGCUACCCGCUGAACUUAA